rnacentral:lncRNA from 1 species
UCCUCCUGACACGCACAUGCUCUUCAACAGCUCCCUAAAAUGGACAAACAUCAAAGGGUUAAAGAUCACACUUGCCAAAUCGGAAUUAAACUGUGCUAAUAUAGGGAACUGAGGACAACUCCUCCAACAAGGAGGAAAGGCUGCUGACCCCUGAUGCGCCAGCAUGGGU